rnacentral:lncRNA from 1 species
AUUGUCGUACCCGUAUCUUGGAAUUUUGAGUUUUGCCGUUCCUCGUUCCCGUGUCGUCCCCGUACCCGUUCCAGUGCUACUUAGGUCAACAAUGUAAAUUAAUACCUAUAUUUUUCCUACAAGGUAGAAUUUGACUUAAUCCCAUCACUCUAAUACUUACUUUCGCUUUCUACAAAUCACUGAUUCUCCCGCCAGAUGGUGGUCACAAACAGACCUCCUGUGGCGAGUCUAGCGGUUCUGUUUUGCAAGUUUGAAUUAGACUUUUACUUUUCUCAUUUGUUUGAUUUUUAAUUUCAUGGUUUGUUAUUUUGUUUCCUAAUUGAAUUAUAUUUCCUACAUUUUAAAUAAAUUAGGGUCUAGCAUUUAUUUGUUAAGGUAGUUUUUGAGUUUUGAUUAUUGUAAAGACACUUUUGAGGUCUCUUUAAACCAUUCGGUUCGAUUUGAAGCCUUUAAUUUAAUGUUAUAGUUUCUAGCCAUUUGAUUGCUACGCGUUUCUGCAUCAUAUAGUCUUCCUCAUAUCCAGGCCUGGCAAAUUUGACCUGCCAUCCCAAAAUUGGGUUGAUAUGGGUGGCUUUUUAAAAGUUUUGGGUUGAUAUGGGUAGCUGUUUCUUAUUGAACGGGUCAGAAUGGGUUAAUUGAGACAACCCUUUCUUAUGAAAUGGGUCUGAAUGGUUAAGCGACCCUGAACCAGUAAGUGCUGAACCACUAAAGUGCUGUUUGGUUGCACCCCUGAAUGACUGUGUAAAAUGACAUUUUUACCCCUCUGAACUACUGUGCUAAACAAUGGUAUCCAGUAUCCUACAACUCGCACAUACCUAAUUUCAGAUUUCACAUACCUAAUCAUAAACAACGAUAUCCAGUAUCCGACAACUUGCACAUAAGAUGAAACCCUAGGGCAUCAAUUGAAUGUAAAAGAUGGAACAUAAGGUCAGACACUUACAGGUAGUCGUCGUCGGCAGAGAUUGAAAUGAAACUGAGCGUGGAGGAGUGGUGGCGGAUUGUGGAGGAGAUGGGGCUGUGGUGGAGGCCGACGAUGAGGAGGGCGGCUGUGGAGGAGGAGGCCGGCGGAUUGUGGAGGAGAUGGGGCUGUCGACGAGGAGAUGGGGCUGUGGAGAGGAGAUGGGCGGCGGAGUGAUGGAAGGCGACGGAGUUGUGGAGGAGAGGAGGAGAUGAUGGUGGCUAUGGAGGAGAAAUAUGGU